rnacentral:rRNA from 1 species
GACAGAGGUGGCGAGCGUUGUUCGGAAUCACUGGGCUUAAAGGGCGCGUAGGUGGUAGUACAAGUCUGAUGUGGAAUCUUGGGGCUUAACCCCAAAAUUGCAUUGGAAACUGUAUUACUUGAGUCAGUGAGGGGAGGGUAGAAUUCCUGGUGUAGCGGUGAAAUGCGUAGAUAUCAGGAGGAAGGCCUGUGGCGAAGGCGGCCCUCUGGCGCUGAACUGACACUGAGGCGCGAAAGCGUGGGUAGCAAAC